UACGGGGGGUGCAAGCGUUAUUCGGAAUUAUUGGGCGUAAAGCGAGUGUAGGCGGCCAUUUAAGUCAGAUGUGAAAGCCCGGGGCUCAACCCCGGAAGUGCAUUUGAAACUGGAUGGCUUGAGUAUGGGAGAGGAAAGUGGAAUUCCUGGUGUAGAGGUGAAAUUCGUAGAUAUCAGGAGGAACACCGGUGGCGAAGGCGACUUUCUGGACCAAUACUGACGCUCAGACUCGAAGGCGUGGGUAGCAAACAGG
rnacentral:rRNA from 1 species